GCGGACGUGGUGGAAUGGUAGACACGCAUGUUUGAGGGGCAUGUGGCAGCUUUAAUGCCGUGUGAGUUCAAGUCUCAUCGUCCGCACCA
rnacentral:tRNA from 1 species